rnacentral:rRNA from 1 species
AACGUAGGUGGCGAGCGUUAUCCGGAAUUACUGGGCGUAAAGCGUGUGCAGGCGGGCUGUCAAGUGGUGUAUGAAAGCUCCCGGCUCAACCGGGAAGGGUUAUGCCAGACUGACAGUCUUGAGUGCGAGAGAGGAAUGUGGAAUUCCGGGUGUAGUGGUGAAAUGCGCAGAGAUCGGGAGGAACACCCGUAGCGAAGGCGGUUCUCUGGGCCGGUACUGACGCUGAGGAGCGAAAGCGUGGGGAGCAAACAGG